UACGUAGGGUGCGAGCGUUGUCCGGAAUUAUUGGGCGUAAAGAGCUCGUAGGCGGCUUGUCACGUCGGAUGUGAAAGCCCGGGGCUUAACCCCGGGUCUGCAUUCGAUACGGGCAGGCUAGAGUGUGGUAGGGGAGAUCGGAAUUCCUGGUGUAGCGGUGAAAUGCGCAGAUAUCAGGAGGAACACCGGUGGCGAAGGCGGGUCUCUGGGCCGAAACUGACGCUGAGGAGCGAAAGCGUGGGGAGCAAACAGG
rnacentral:rRNA from 1 species